GAAAAAGAAACGUAUGCAUUAGGCCUGGAAUAAAGAUUUUAACUAAUUUUUUCAGAAAAGAAUGCAUUACACAUGAUGUAUUUAUUUAUUUAUUUAUUUUUCUAUUAUAAAAAGUAUUCCAGUUCACCAGUUCAAGUGGAAAAAGAAGGAGACAAUCAUUGUAAUGAAGGCUACCUAUAUUGCUACUUAUAUCUAAUCAAAGGACGUUUUCAUACUAAUAUAGGUAGAGUGGGAUUUGGAGGGAAUAAUUGUGGUAGAGUAGACAAAGAACGUGAAGCAUGUGGUGAGUAAAUUUAUGAUAUGAACUGCAAUAAUCUCAGAGUUCCAGUGACACUAAUAAGAAGCUAUGAAGGUGAGUAAGUGUAUGAUAUGAUUGAGAUUCAUAUAAGCUAAGCUUAUUAUAUGUUGGGGUAUUGUAUAUCUUCUAAGCUAGGCUCACCGACAAUGAACUACUUAAGAACAGCACAUGGUUCACAUGGUUCAAGGGACCCUGUUUCUGACUGCAUUACGCAGAGAAAGAAAAGACAUUAUUAAGGGCAAUUUGUUGGAACUCACCUGCCCAGGGACCAACUGACGGCCGAAGCAAGAAGACGACAACGACCACCAGCUGCCGCCGGCGACUGACUAGCUUGAGUGCGAGACAGUGAGUGAGUGAGUGAGACCGGAGACGACGGCGCCUGAGUGCGACAACACCAGCCGUGAGAGAGUGAAGAGAAAGAGACACGUUGAGGGCUCCAGGGUUAGGGCAUUAGGGAUGCCUCCUUCAAAACGACGCCGGUUUCCAGUUUUUUAAAUAGAAAAAGUUUUAAGCAUAACUCGGUCCGGAUUAAAAAUAAACCAACCGGUUCACUGGGUAAUCAAGUUUUCGUUCAAACAUGUUAAACUAUUUAAUUAUUUUUACACAAAAAUAUCUUCACAUGACUAAUCACUUUAUAUUAAAUAUCGAAAUUAUAUAUGAAUAUGAAGUAUCUUCAUGCAAAGGACGAUGUUUUAUUUCAUUUUCUUCUUCUUGUUUCAAACAUAGAAGGCGGCAAUGACUGAAUUGGUUGCAACUUGCGUUAUUAUCAACAGUUUCAAUCAUUUCAUGUUUGGACUCCAACGGAAAGGAUUCAAUAUUGUUAGUACCCGUUGUAAUAUUUAUUAUAUCAUAUUUUUUUUAGUAGUCAUAAUUUCAUUUUCUGACGGUUACAUGAGUUCCGUUGUCACAUAUAUCGCAGCACUAAAGGGUGUUAUAACCUUGACACGUGCACUAAUUUAUGUUAUUGCACAGUUUAUUGGUUCAAUAAUUGAAUUUAUUAUGCUAAAAUAUGCCAUAGAUCCAAUGUUGAAACAAAAAUAUUCACCUGAAGGAUGUGCAAUUAGUGAUGUUAAAGAACCAAAACCAAAGCCACUAUUUACAUUCUUAGUGGAAUUUUUACCGAUAUUUUUUAUGCUGUUUGCUGCUGUCACCUUUAGAUUUGACAAGAAAUGGUCAAAAGAAUCAGCGUUACCAAUAGUGUGCAUUGUAAUUGCUGGGCUAUUUGCAAUAGCAGUGUAUGCAUCUAUAUUUUAUUCUUGGCAAUUUGACUAUGCAAAUGUUAGAGAUAACCAGUAAAGUGUUUGGGUCCAGCUUUAUUAAAAAGUAGAUUAUUGUGGAGUAGUUUGAGUUUUUUUCGUUGGAAGUUUUUAGGCCUGCAUUACAUAUUAGUAUAUUAUUGUGUGUAGUGUGGCUGUGUGAGUGUGUUAUGAUUUGGAGGUUGUCCAAUUUCUACCAUGUUUAA